rnacentral:rRNA from 1 species
UACGUAGGGUGCAAGCGUUAAUCGGAAUUACUGGGCGUAAAGCGUGCGCAGGCGGUUAUGCAAGACAGAUGUGAAAUCCCCGGGCUCAACCUGGGAACUGCAUUUGUGACUGCAUGGCUAGAGUACGGUAGAGGGGGAUGGAAUUCCGCGUGUAGCAGUGAAAUGCGUAGAUAUGCGGAGGAACACCGAUGGCGAAGGCAAUCCCCUGGACCUGUACUGACGCCCAUGCACGAAAGCGUGGGGAGCAAACAGG